rnacentral:tRNA from 1 species
GCGGGCGUGGCGGAAUUGGUAGACGCGGCGGACUUAAAAUCCGCUUCCGUAUGGAGUGUCGGUUCGAGUCCGACCGCCCGCACCA